UCCUCACUCACUCAGGAAUCCGCCGAGG
rnacentral:piRNA from 1 species